rnacentral:rRNA from 1 species
CCUACGGGAGGCAGCAGUGAGGAAUAUUGGUCAAUGGGCGAGAGCCUGAACCAGCCAAGUCGCGUGAAGGAUGACGGCCCUACGGGUUGUAAACUUCUUUUGUCAGGGAGCAAUUUGGUCCACGCGUGGGCUUAGCGAGAGUACCUGAAGAAAAAGCAUCGGCUAACUCCGUGCCAGCAGCCGCGGUACUACGGAGGAUGCGAGCGUUACCCGGAGUUAUUGGGUUAAAAGGGUGCGUAGGCGGAAUAUAAAGUCAGCGGUAAAAAUUCGGGGCUAAACCCCGUCGUGCCGUUGAAACUGAUGUUCUGGAGUGGGCGAGAAGUAGGCGGAAUGCGUGGUGUAGCGGUGAAAUGCAUAGAUAUCACGCAGAACUCCGAUUGCGAAGGCAGCAUACCGGCGCCCAACUGACGCUGAAGCACGAAAGCGUGGGGAGCAAACAGGAUUAGAUACCCCUGUAGUC